GCCGCCUUAGCUCAGUAGGUUAGAGCGCUUGAUUGUGGAUCAAGAGGUCCCCCGUUCGAACCGGGGAGGCGGUACCA
rnacentral:tRNA from 4 species